AGACACAAGGGCAUAUCAUGUUAAAGUAUUGAUUUUAAACAAUUAAAACAAAUUGAAUUCUGCCACAAUGUUUUUGGUUGGGGCGACCGCGGAGAAAAACCUAACCCCCGUGCGGAAUAAAAGCAUAAUCUUUUAAAACCGAGAGCUACAGCUCUAAGUAACAGAACAUCUGACCUUAGUGAUCCGGCAAUGCCGAUUAACGAACCGAGUUACCCUAGGGAUAACAGCGCAAUCCCCUUUUAGAGUCCCUAUCGACAAGGGGGCUUACGACCUCGAUGUUGGAUCAGGACAUCCUAAUGGUGCAACCGCUGUUUAG
rnacentral:rRNA from 1 species